GACAGAGGUGCCGAGCGUUUAGGCGGAAUCACUGGGCUUAAAGCGCGUGUAGGCGGACCGUUAAGUACCUUGUGAAAUCCCCCCGGCUCAACCGGGGAACGGCUGGGUAUACUGGCGGUCUUGGGCCACCUAGGGGUCAUCGGAACAGGCGGUGGAGCGGUGAAAUGCGUAGAUAUCUGGAGGAAUACCGGUGGCGAAGGCGGCAUCCUGGACCGGCAUUGACGCUGAGGAGCGAAAAGCUAGGGGGAGCAAACGGGG
rnacentral:rRNA from 1 species